AGGGACCUUCGGGGCCCUUCACACAUAGGGUCGAAAGCGACCCGUAUAGCUAAACGGAAGAGAGCAA
rnacentral:ncRNA from 1 species